AACGAACGCUGGCGGCAUGCCUAACACAUGCAAGUCGAACGAGACCUUCGGGUAUAGUGGCGCACGGGUGCGUAACGCGUGGGAACCUGCCCUUAGGUUCGGAAUAACUCCCCGAAAGGGGUGCUAAUACCGGAUAAUGUCUUCGGACCAAAGAUUUAUCGCCUUUGGAUGGGCCCGCGUUGGAUUAGCUAGUUGGUAGGGUAAAAGCCUACCAAGGCGACGAUCCAUAGCUGGUCUGAGAGGAUGAUCAGCCACACUGGGACUGAGACACGGCCCAGACUCCUACGGGAGGCAGCAGUGGGGAAUAUUGGACCAUGGGCGAAAGCCUGAUCCAGCAAUGCCGCGUGAGUGAUGAAGGCCUUAGGGUUGUAAAGCUCUUUUACCCGGGAUGAUAAUGACAGUACCGGGAGAAUAAGCUCCGGCUAACUCCGUG
rnacentral:rRNA from 1 species